AGAGUUUGAUCCUGGCUCAGAUUGAUCGCUGGCGGCAGCUCUAACCCAUGCAAGUCGAGCGGUAGCACAGGGAGCUUGCUCCUGGGUGACGAGCGGCGGACGGGUGAGUAAUGUCUGGGAAACUGCCUGAUGGAGGGGGAUAACUACUGGGAAACGGUAGCUAAUGCCGCAUAACGUCUACGGACCAAAGUGGGGGACUUUCGGCCUCAUGCCAUCAGAUGUGCCCAGAUGGGAUUAGCUAGUAGGUGGGGUAAUGGCUCACCUAGGCGACGAUCCCUAGCUGGUCUGAGAGGAUGACCAGCCACACUGGAACUGAGACACGGUCCAGACUCCUACGGGAGGCAGCAGUGGGGAAUAUUGCACAAUGGGCGCAAGCCUGAUGCAGCCAUGCCGCGUGUGUGAAGAAGGGCUUCGGGUUGUAAAGCAACUUUCAGCCGAGGAGGAAGGGUUCAGUGUUAAUAGCACUGUCAUUGUCGUACAUCGCUAUAUAGACUA
rnacentral:rRNA from 1 species